GAUCAAAUUGGCCCGGUCAACAUGGUUCUCCACUUGUGAGAUUAUGACUAUUCUGACUGCUCUUAUACUAGGAGCAUUGAAGGUAAACUCCAGAUCCUUCCCUACAAAGUUAUCUGUAAACAAUGGCUUUCCUUUCAGCUAUCAUGUGAAAGUGACUUGAGCCCAGAUCCUCGGAGAUAUUUCAGCUCUAGGCUACCUCUGAAGUCUUCAUGGGGCCCACCGAGAAUGCUGAGAAAGCUGGAGCAUCUACAAAAGUUGGAAACAGGAAUCUGAACAAUGUCAGACUUGUUAAAAGUUAUUGUCCAUUAGGGAAAAUCCCAAAUUGAACUCAAAGCUCAAGUACAACAAGUAUACAAUGUCUGGACUGAAAAUCAGCACAUAGAUGGGACAACAUCAGAGGUUGAGAACUUCCAGAAACAGUGGCCAAAAAAAAAAAAAAAUCCCUACACCCCACAUAGUUUCAUCUUCCACUCAGAUGUGUACUACAAUCCUUCAACCAUUUGUAUUAUUUUGUAAACAAAUCAGCAAGACAAGAAGGCAAGAGUUGCUAUGAAGGGCUCACACAGUCUUCACUUGUAGUGCCAUUGAGUUUAAUGGGCCAGUUUGUGUGUGUAAGAGCAAAGGCUCAGGACAGCCAAAGAAGACUAAGAGGAGAUAAUUAGUUCUUCCGUAACAUUUAUGUUAUGAGCUUUUCUCCCAUGCCCAUAGUGAAGGCAAUACUAAUUCACUCCUUCAGACAGCGACAGGUGGAAACUCUGGAUACAAGUGUAACCCAUGUGCCUAAUAGGGAGAUAUCUCUUUAAGAGGCCCAUGGAUGAGGGUCAGGGAGGUAGGAGUCAGUUGUGUCUGGGUCAUUGUUGCUAGGCAGAUUUAGCACGCCACAUCCAGAAGUUUCUGGAAUUGGCUGUGGUAGUUUUGAGAAUACUCCAAUAGGUUUCCUGUUGCUGGGGUCAGACUCCAUGAGGACAAGCGGUCAGGGCAGCUGCUUUACAAAGGGCCAUGUGUCCUGUGUGAGCUGGGAGAAAGCAGGCUGUUGUCCCUAACUCUGAAGCAUUUUGCAGCAGGUCAGUGAUAUUGUUAACCCUCUACCAGGGAAGCAAGGGGAAAUCGGGAAGGAAAAUAACUUCUAUUUUAAUUGUAUGCUUUGAAUGUUGUUUUGAUUUUAGCCAAACUGUUCUAGUUAAACGGUCUCAACUAGUUUGAUUUGCCAAGUUUUAUUUAAAUGUAGUAGGGGAAAGUCAUUUAUAUUUUGCUAUUCUCAGUUUUGUAUUUUCUUGUAACAGGGUUUUCUUUAAAUCUAUACACUAAACUGAGUGGUUGGUUCAUCAGUUAGCUGACUGGCUAGCAGUGAUUUCAGCAGAGGAAGAGUCUGCAUGUAGUCCAACAAGCAAGUGGAGUGAAGAUGUUGUUUUAGACUCAGCAGACUGUAUAGAUUUGGUGAUCAAAGACUGAGACUGAACUAAACCUAAGCUUUUGGGAACUCUCAGUUUCUUCUCACUGUGUUUUCUGUGGGGACUGAACUGUUCAGAUUUUAAUUAGUUUUCUAUAUUUGUGUAUAACUGAAGAUGUCUGGAUUAUAAAAUAGCCAUGUUAUGCUGUAAAAAAAUAAUUAUUUGUUUCUUUAU